rnacentral:rRNA from 1 species
CGCCCGUCGCGCCCCGCGCCCGGCCCGCCGCCCCCGCCCCGCAUCGAUGAAGAACGCAGCGAAAUGCGAUAAGUAAUGUGAAUUGCAGAAUUCAGUGAAUCAUCGAAUCUUUGAACGCACAUUGCGCCCUCUGGUAUUCCGGAGGGCACACCUGUUCGAGCGUCAUUACACAAAUCAAGCCCUGCUUGGUGUUGGGUGAGGCCCUUUGGGGCCCGCCUCAAACCCCUCGGCGUCGCCGUCCGUCUUCGAGCGCAGCGAGAUAACUUUCCAGCGUUUUGGAGAUGGGCCACGUCCGCCGCAGAACACACCUUUUUUUCUAUCAAGGUUGACCUCGGAUCAGGUGGGGAUACCCGCUGAACUUAAGCAUAUCAAUAAGCGGAGG